rfam:Ovis aries breed Texel chromosome 17, whole genome shotgun sequence.
UGGCUGAGAUGGUAAAGUGUCUGCCUACAAUGCAGGAGACCCGGGUUCAAUCCCUGG